GUAAUAUAAAAUACGGUUUGUUAGCUUUUAACUAAAAAGUCUAAGAAACAUCUCUUAUAUAUAUUAUUUAAGAGAUGUUUCUUAGGUUUUUUAGUUAAAAGCUAAGAGAUUGUAUCUUAUAUUAC
rnacentral:pre_miRNA from 1 species